UGAGGAAUAUUGGUCAAUGGGCGAGAGCCUGAACCAGCCAAGUAGCGUGAAGGAUGACUGCCCUAUGGGUUGUAAACUUCUUUUAUAAAGGAAUAAAGUCGGGUAUGGAUACCCGUUUGCAUGUACUUUAUGAAUAAGGAUCGGCUAACUCCGUGCCAGCAGCCGCGGUAAUACGGAGGAUCCGAGCGUUAUCCGGAUUUAUUGGGUUUAAAGGGAGCGUAGAUGGAUGUUUAAGUCAGUUGUGAAAGUUUGCGGCUCAACCGUAAAAUUGCAGUUGAUACUGGAUAUCUUGAGUGCAGUUGAGGCAGGCGGAAUUCGUGGUGUAGCGGUGAAAUGCUUAGAUAUCACGAAGAACUCCGAUUGCGAAGGCAGCCUGCUAAGCUGCAACUGACAUUGAGGCUCGAAAGUGUGGGUAUCAAACAGGAUUAGAUACCCUGGUAGUCCACACGGUAAACGAUGAAUACUCGCUGUUUGCGAUAUACGGCAAGCGGCCAAGCGAAAGCGUUAAGUAUUCCACCUGGGGAGUACGCCGGCAACGGUGAAACUCAAAGGAAUUGACGGGGGCCCGCACAAGCGGAGGAACAUGUGGUUUAAUUCGAUGAUACGCGAGGAACCUUACCCGGGCUUAAAUUGCAGAUGAAUUACGGUGAAAGCCGUAAGCCGCAAGGCAUCUGUGAAGGUGCUGCAUGGUUGUCGUCAGCUCGUGCCGUGAGGUGUCGGCUUAAGUGCCAUAACGAGCGCAACCCUUGUUGUCAGUUACUAACAGGUUUCGCUGAGGACUCUGACAAGACUGCCAUCGUAAGAUGUGAGGAAGGUGGGGAUGACGUCAAAUCAGCACGGCCCUUACGUCCGGGGCUACACACGUGUUACAAUGGGGGGUACAGAGGGCCGCUACCACGCGAGUGGAUGCCAAUCCCAAAAACCUCUCUCAGUUCGGACUGGAGUCUGCAACCCGACUCCACGAAGCUGGAUUCGCUAGUAAUCGCGCAUCAGCCACGGCGCGGUGAAUACGUUCCC
rnacentral:rRNA from 1 species